ACGAACGCUGGCGGCGUGCUUAACACAUGCAAGUCGAACGGGCCCGCCCCUGUUUUUGGGGGUGGGUUGAGUGGCGAACGGGUGAGUAUCACGUGAGUAACCUGCCCCCUGCUCCUGGAUAACUGCUUGAAAGGGCGGCUAAUACGGGGUGUGCCGGCUGGUCCGCAUGGGCCUGGUCGGGAUAGUUUCAUCUUCGGGUGUUUCGGUGGGGGAUGGGCUCGCGGCCUAUCAGCUUGUUGGUGGGGUGAUGGCCCACCAAGGCGGUGACGGGUAGCCGGCCUGAGGGGGUGGGCGGCCACACUGGGACUGAGACACGGCCCAGACUCCUGCGGGAGGCAGCAGUGGGGGGUAGUGCACAAUGGGCGGAAGCCUGAUGCAGCGACGUCGCGUGAGGGAUGGAGGCCUUCGGGUUGUGAACCUCUUUCUCCGGUGGUGAAGGCCCUGUCCGUUGCGGCGGGGUUGACGGUAGCCGGGUAUGAAGCGCCGGCUAACUACGUG
rnacentral:rRNA from 1 species